rnacentral:tRNA from 1 species
UGAGACAUGGCUCAGUGGUUAAGAGCACUGGCUGUUCUUCCAGAGGACCUGGGUUCAAUUCCCAGUACUCAC